UACAGAGGUCCCAAGCGUUGUUCGGAUUCACUGGGCGUAAAGGGUGCGUAGGUGGUUAGGUAAGUCCGAUGUGAAAUCUCCAGGCUCAACCUGGAAAUGGCAUUGGAUACUAUUUAGCUUGAGGAGUGGAGGGGGGACUGGAAUUCUCGGUGUAGCAGUGAAAUGCGUAGAUAUCGAGAGGAACACCAGUGGCGAAGGCGAGUCCCUGGACACUUCCUGACGCUGAGGCACGAAAGCCAGGGGAGCAAUCGGG
rnacentral:rRNA from 1 species